UCGUUGAGGUUGAGUCGCUGCCACUGCCAUGUUGCUUUGUCCUCUACCCACCUGUAACCGAUGUUCAGCGAACGCUCCGUGCUCCGUUUCUGGUGCUUCUUUCGUGUUUCUCGUUUUGAAGUUCCUUGCUAAUAUGAUGUCGAGUGUGUUUAUGGAAUAAAAUGAGUAUAAGGUGACGAUCGUCCUGAGACUCUGGUUGACUUUUCGCUGUAUUCGGGCGACGGGCGGGAGGAUACCGUGUUCACUUCGCAAUGGAUAUUUCGCACUCGAUUCUCUUUGCAUGUGCGUCCGAGUUUUCGUGAGUAACUUGCAGUGAGAUAAACGUUCGGACGAGACAGCGAGAUUGCUUUGAGACGCGCUCGUUGUUGCAGAACGACGUAAAGGUUAACUCGCCCGUGCGAAUCACCGCAAGCUCCGUUCGGCCAACGUAUCGCCCAGCUUGUUUAUCAUUGUCGAGCGAAUUCUCUUUUUGUACGCGCGGCUACUUCCGAGUUUUCAUAUGCGGUAAUAAAAUAAACCGACUAAUAUUCCUACGAAAUAUCGAUCUACGCAUUCUGGAUCAUAACCUCUCGCGGUCGUGUGUCCCUUUCGCUACGUGGUGAUGUCGCUUCGCCGGCAGUUCCGCCAACAAAGUGUCGCGCGUUGCUUCGAUAAUUAGCGCGCGAUUGUAAUUAAUCUUUCGUUCGCGAGUGUUGUGUUAGUUGUGCGCGCACGGAAACUGAGAGGAAACGAAGGCUCUGGGACAAUUGGCAACGGCGAAGCAACCCUAUGGUCAAUGUGGCGUAACGAUUCCGCUGUUACGCGUCGUGAUAUUGCAGGUGCAGUCUACUAAUUUGAGGCUCUUAAUCCUAGACAAUGUCAAAAUUCUUGGAAAAGGUUCCGAAGAUUCGAAGAAACAUACAAGAACACAUUUCUCCAAAAUUAGCACGAUGUCUCUUCUUUAUCAUGAGAAUCCUAAAUACGUAUAACAUGUAUAUUCUUUAAUAAACACGCACUUUGUGCCAGCCUA
rnacentral:lncRNA from 13 species